rnacentral:sRNA from 1 species
UUGGCAUGUUGUGGGUGGGUGGGCGUGGUGGAUGGGGUAUAAGACGGAGAUGACGGAGACGGGGAGGAGUCUGGGCCCAAAUGGGGGGGUUUUGGGAUCGAUGGAUUGGAGGAGGAGGUCGCGGAACGUUAGAUGGGUCGUUAUUGGGGUUUCAGCGACGGGGAUUGCGUUGUGGCUGGCUGGUGGACUGGGAGUUUUAGGACGAAGAGAACUGGGAAUGGGGUGGGAGGCGAAAGGGUGGGAUAAAAUAUACAAAGAGGUGCCGUUGUUAGGGCGGGUUUUAGGGCUGAAAUGAGAAAACGUAUUGUCGAUGGUUUCGGCCAUUUCAUGUUUGGGCACGUUUAAAGAUGUUCUCGUGCAGAAGUGUUCUCUUUGAAAGCCCUUCGUAAAUACAGGAUAGAAAAUGAGGAAGGACACAGGUAGGGAUACUCUGAUACCAAUUAAAUUCAACUCAAUCACGCCAAUAGAUACCCAUUCUUUAAUAUCUAACCAGCAGUCGUUCUCGGCAAAUUUAUUCUGUAUAGAGACAAACUUCCUCCACUGGCUCGGCUUGCCAAUCGAUGCGAUAUCGGAGCGCUUCUGAGUUUCGCCGAAACUAUGUAUCAACGACGACGGCAAUCAGAGAUCUUAGAGACGCCUCGAAUUUCACAAGAGGAGCAACAGAGAAGAAAAUGGCAAGUAGAUCGAGAUAGAUUGAUCGACUUUCAACGAUUGCCGGGUGCCGAAGUAGACACGGCAGAGACUAUGCCGAACUAACAGAGAACCUGCCCCGCAAAAAAAAAAAAUAAAAUAAAAUAAAAAGAAAAAUUUAACCCCCCGCCGAUACCUGCUGGAAAUACAAGUAAAUAAAAGCGCCGACUAAGCCCUCGUCUGUCCAAAAGAAACAAUCUUAGUUUGCUACUCUCUCCUCUCUGCUCUACUAACCCUCUCCCCAGCCUCCCUUACCGAAAGCAGGAACUACUAGUAUAUAUAUAACCCCCGUACACACACCCGGAAAUGGUCACCCACAAAGUCCUCGUCCUCCCCGGCGACGGAAUCGGCCCUGAAAUCACCGCCGAAGCCGUCAAAGUCCUCUCCGUCUUCUCCUCGCAAACACGCACCUUCGCCCUCCGCACCGAACUAAUAGGCGGAUGCAGCAUCGAUGCCCACGGCACCCCUCUCACUGAUUCUGUGAAGCAAGCCGCGUUAGACGCCGAUGCCGUCUUAUUCGCCGCCGUCGGCGGGCCAAAAUGGGAUGGUGUCCGCCGGGGCCUGGAGGGGCCGGAGGGCGGGCUCUUGCAAUUGCGAAAAGCGAUGAGUGUGUAUGGUAACUUGCGGCCGUGCAUAUCGCCGUGCAAGGCGGUGACGAGGGAGUUUACUCCGUUUAAGGAAGAGGUGGUUGAGGGCGUGGAGUUUCUGGUGCUGAGGGAGAAUUGUGGUGGGGCCUAUUUUGGGCGGAAAGUGGAGGAGCAGGAUUAUGCAAUGGAUG